UCCAGCAGAAGGAUCAGGCCAUCAAGGAGAGAGGCGCCUUUCUCUGAAGGGAGGAAGGAACCUCCACUGUGAUAUGGCCUUGACUAAACAAAUACAGAGUUGGUGAACUCAAGGGGCCUCCAUAGCCUAGACAGCUCAUAGCAAGAGUCUCGGGUGAUUGCUGACGUCAUAAAUAAGAGUGCCAAUUGUUAAAUCAACAAUGGAGUCACUGGGUUCAUGCUCCCCUCGCAGGAUCUCUGUCCUUAAUAUGUUUAUCUAUGAAACUCAAAAACAACACUACUAGUCGAACAAUACCCUAUACCUGGUUCGGUUGUGUGAGUGCAACCUGUUGAAAUCCCUGCUUAGUAUAGACUAAAUUGAUCUUCGGUAUAUGAAGAGGCUGUGGCACCAUUACUUCUGUUCCCACUGCAGAAGUAGUAAAUUUCCAUCCUGACAAACUUACAAGAAAAUUGUGCUGGAACAGAGCUCUUUGAAAACCAUGGUUUUAUAUUCCACUGAAGUUUCCUUUUCAUCUCCAGAAAGGAGCCAGGAAAACUUCUUCUGGAAGAACACGGAUUAUUCAGAAUCUCAGUGGACAUCUAUACAUCAUUGCUCAACCUUCCACUCCUUCGUUAACAAGGAUUCUGUUUUUCUGUCUACGUAGUCUGUGCUUUGUAUCACAGAAAAGUUCAUUCAUCAUGAUUUGGUGUUCUUAGCUCAUCACUCAAUACAUCUUCUGGCAUCCUGGUAGAGUUUGUUUCUUGCAGAAGAUGAACCCAGCCCGAUUUGAUUGUCAAAGGCCUAACUGCAAGCCUCACUGUUUGGCUCUCUGCAGUGCCCGUGCGACUGAGGUUUUCUCUGGUCACCAGGAGUUCCGUGCAACAGGACUUACCAGGAAGCCCUUGAAGGAUGAUUAAGAACAUUCCAGAAAGAGUGCCGAAUUCUCCCUUCCAGCCAAGCCUUCAGCUUAGCAAUGAGGACCGAGCCCUUCCGGAAUCCCUGGCUCAAGCCUACUUCUCAUCUCCACACCUGGCAUUGAUUAAUUACAGUAGGUAAAAAGCAGAGUUGAGCUUCCUCUUGAAUUGUUUGCUUUAGAAAAAUAUCUGAACAGCCUUCCAAAGAGGUGACAGUUAUCUAACAAGAAGAAAUGACAAGAGUUCUUUUACAACUUUUCUAAAUGCUUUCAUAUGUAUUGAUUUGGUUAUUUGGGCAAACUUAUAAAUUGAUAAUUACUUCGGUUUCACACUUGCAGAAAAAGAAAAGGGUAGACCUAAAUUCUAAGGAAAAAGAAUAUAUCAACUAUUUCCCUAAAUUUCUCUUCAAACAGAAUCUAAUAUGUGCUGCGGACUGUGAGCCAGUUAGAAUUCAUAGCCUUUGACUUGAUUUAAGUGAAGUCACAAUUGCUGAUUUGAUCCCCAUCAGAAUUCCUUACCAAUUGGCUUGCUCUUUUCAGAAGGAAGAAUAUAUGUUUCUAAUCAAUCUUCCUAACAAAUGUGAGCAUUAGUAUCUAAUGAGACUGACAGCCAAAGGAUGAAACACACAUCACCAGGCCUGCUGUAAAGAAUCUACAAAACGGACUCUGUGGGGUCUUUAUUUGUGAAUAGGAAAAUUAAAGAUGUUACAA